GUGCCUAAUACAUGCAAGUCGAGCGAACGGACGAGAAGCUUGCUUCUCUGAUGUUAGCGGCGGACGGGUGAGUAACACGUGGAUAACCUACCUAUAAGACUGGGAUAACUUCGGGAAACCGGAGCUAAUACCGGAUAAUAUUUUGAACCGCAUGGUUCAAAAGUGAAAGACGGUCUUGCUGUCACUUAUAGAUGGGUCCGCGCUGCAUUAGCUAGUUGGUAAGGUAACGGCUUACCAAGGCAACGAUGCAUAGCCGACCUGAGAGGGUGAUCGGCCACACUGGAACUGAGACACGGUCCAGACUCCUACGGGAGGCAGCAGUAGGGAAUCUUCCGCAAUGGGCGAAAGCCUGACGGAGCAACGCCGCGUGAGUGAUGAAGGUCUUCGGAUCGUAAAACUCUGUUAUUAGGGAAGAACAUAUGUGUAAGUAACUGUGCACAUCUUGACGGUACCUAAUCAGAAAGCCACGGCUAACUACGUGCCAGCAGCCGCGGUAAUACGUAGGUGGCAAGCGUUAUCCGGAAUUAUUGGGCGUAAAGCGCGCGUAGGCGGUUUUUUAAGUCUGAUGUGAAAGCCCACGGCUCAACCGUGGAGGGUCAUUGGAAACUGGAAAACUUGAGUGCAGAAGAGGAAAGUGGAAUUCCAUGUGUAGCGGUGAAAUGCGCAGAGAUAUGGAGGAACACCAGUGGCGAAGGCGACUUUCUGGUCUGUAACUGACGCUGAUGUGCGA
rnacentral:rRNA from 1 species